UACACUUAAACCUGGAGGAAAAGAGUGCAAAGAUGAUUUGGACGUUAUAAGAGCCAUAGAAAGUAAUACAGGAUUCAAACAUGGAAAGGGGUGCAAGACUAGAUAAAUUGUAGUUCUACAUAAGGAUAUUGAAGAAGCUAAUCUGUCAAAGGUCCUGUCAUCACAGCCUAAUACUCCUCCAAGUGAAGCCUUGUUUUUAUUUUUAACAACAUAAAACUGGACAAACAGUAUAUUGUUGGAGACCAGUGCAAGAUUCCACUUGAGACAGCCUUUCUUAGUCACAAGUUGGCUGGGUAUUUACACUUUGUGGAAAAAUUGGAAAACUAAUAAACAAAUAGAACCAACAUUUUAAAUUAAAUUCAACCUUCUGUGUCAUGGACAUAUUAUUGACUUCUUAACAGCUUACCUUUUACCAUGAAAAAACCUGCUUUUUUGCACUUGCAAAAACAAAGGUGCAGAAUAGCUGUGUGGUAACCAUCAGCUGAUCAGUGCCUUUAUUUUUUGCUGCAUAGAUGGUGCAAUCCCUCCCCUUCCUUAAUCAGACAUUUAAAUCCUCUUGAUGUCUGAACAUGAAGCUGUAUAUUUUGACUCUAUUUGAAAUAGCAAAUGUCAAGUGUCAAUAUUUUUCAAAACAGCUAAGACUAUGCUUCUUUUUAGGAACUUUUAAAUACAGUGAUUUAUCAAAUGAUUAUUCACUAGCAGAAAAGAUUGACUUAAUAAUGCAGUGUUUAAACACUAAUUUUAUUAUUUAUGACAUCAGUAUGUUAUUGCAGACUGUGACAUUUUUAUGUCAAUGAAGCAUUAAAAUGCCAUAUAUUAUAAAUUGUUUAUUACAGUUAAGAAGUAUUAGUGCUAUUUGUUGUUUGCAAAUGUUAAUAUGCUCUUAUUUUGUACAUGCUAUGUAGUAAGUUUAAUAUAUUGCAUUGAUGUCUUAAAUAAGUUUGUAUUUUGUUGAUGUAUUACUGUCUAACUUUAACACAUGCUCACUUCAUUAUCAUAUUAGAUUUAUUAAAUUUUCAUUUACUGAUUUCAAGUGGUAAGCAGAAUUAUUUACAGAGAUCACUAGUUUUCACUGAUCAGGCACCUUUGUUGUGCAUUUAAAUUUUUGGUGUUUUCGGAGUCAAAGAAAUGAUUUAUCAAAAUAUUGUUUAAAGUUGCAUUGUAACUUUUUAGAGUGCUAAAGUGUACCAUUUUUUUUGUCUAAGCCUUAAGCGCACCACAACAAAAGACAUUUAUGAACCAUCAGGAUAUAUACUGUUACUGAUAAAAAAUAGAGCACUAGUGCACAGACUUUUGACUCCCCCCCCCCUCCUCGUAACCAUGAAGUGUAUUAUAAUUUGUCUGACAGUACUCGGACACAUUAUUGGGGACAGUCAACAUUGAAUGACCGAUUUUUGACACUGUCUGAAAAUACUGUUUGUUUUUUUCCAACCCAAAUAUGAUACAUAUAUGUGCCAAAACCGGGUUUUUUACAGAGAGGUAGGCUUUACUGUGUAAAAAGGUUUUAUUUUUGUAGAGAGAAGUUAAAUCCAUUUUAUAUAUGUUUUCAUUUUACCUGAAAUUCUACUGAUAUCCAUAUAUCAAUUUGUUUUUGUUGUUUAAUUGUCUAUCUAUCUAUUUACUUAAUUGUUUGCCUAAAUAUAACUGUAAUCUGUUUUAUGUAUUUAUUUUAUACAUUCAUUUUUAAUCCCCUUCUGCAUAGAGGGGAGGGGUCAAAUAUUCAUGUUUAUAACUUUUUGACAUGGAAGAUUUUAAAUAUUUUAGCAUAAAUAAUCACGACCAUGGCACAACAGCCAGGUUUUUCUCUAAAAGACAUGGUUUGUUAAAGAUCAAGAAGUACAGAUUCCUGUCCACUGCGAAGGGGAUAUAGCUGUCCUUCAGACUGCCUUGUUUUUAAUUGUUUGAAGUUUCAAUAUGAAAAUGCUCUUUUUAAUUUUGUGAUUUGUAACACCAGAAUUUCGGGUAUAUUGCAUUGGAUUGUAACAUGGCUGACAAGGUGACAGUAAAAUUGCCACCUGUAGGAAAUGCUACCUCAGUUGACAGUGUUUUUCCAAAAGUUGUUAACUUUACUGUCACUCUGUCAGGCAUGCAAUAUUAAUUUUAUUAUACCAAAAAUACUAUUAUGAUAAUGGUAGGGUGUCUUGAUCUAUUUAACAUUUAUGUGCAGUAAUGAAGAACAAUUAGUAUUUAACCUAAAUUUCAAAAUGCUAUUAAAAUGUGUAUAAUAUGUUUAUGUGUCAUUGUUCACAUUUUUUGGUUGAUCGUGUUUUGAAAUAAAACAUGGAAACUAUUAAAACGUGUAAACGUGUUUUAAAUCUGUUACAGUCCCAAAACACGUGUUAGGUGUUUUCAGACAAAACACCUAAACACGUUUUCUAGGAAAACACCCGUGUUUUAGUGUGAAACAUCAGUGUUUUGUGAAAACACCGCAACAUGUUUUAAAACUGUUACAGAUAGGUGUUUUCACAUGUGUUUGGAAUCAAAACACUGAGAUUUAGAGUGAAAU